rnacentral:rRNA from 1 species
CCUACGGGAGGCAGCAGUGAGGAAUAUUGGUCAAUGGGCGCGAGCCUGAACCAGCCAAGUCGCGUGAGGGAAGACGGUCCUAUGGAUUGUAAACCUCUUUUGUCGGGGAGCAAAAGACGCCACGCGUGGCGUUCCGAGAGUACCCGAAGAAAAAGCAUCGGCAAACUCCGUGCCAGCAGCCGCGGUAAUACGGAGGAUGCGAGCGUUAUCCGGAUUUGUUGGGUUUAAAGGGUGCGCAGGCGGAAGAUCAAGUCAGCGGUAAAAUUGAGAGGCUCAACCUCUUCGAGCCGUUGAAACUGGUUUUCUUGAGUGAGUGAGAAGUAUGCAGAAUGCGUGGUGUAGCGGUGAAAUGCAUAGAGAUCACGCAGAACUCCGAUUGCGAAGGCAGCAUACCGGCGCUCAACUGACGCUCAUGCACGAAAGUGUGGGUAUCGAACAGGAUUAGAUACCCCUGUAGUC